rnacentral:rRNA from 1 species
CGCGUAGGCGGCAAGGCAAGUCAGAUGUGAAAUCCCCGGGCUCAACCUGGGAAUUGCAUCUGAAACUGCAGUGCUUGAGUCCUGGAGGGGAUAGUGGAAUUCCCAGUGUAGCGGUGAAAUGCGUAGAUAUUGGGAGGAACACCUGCGGCAAAGGCGGCUAUCUGGACAGUGACUGACGCUGAUGCGCGAAAGCCAGGGGAGCGAACG